rnacentral:rRNA from 1 species
UACGUAGGGGGCGAGCGUUGUCCGGAAUUACUGGGCGUAAAGCGCAUGUAGGCGGGCGACUAAGUCAGGGGUGAAAACCGUGGGCUCAACCGUGGGACUGCGCUGGAAACUACACGGCUUGAGGACGGUAGAGGGAGACGGAACUGCUGGUGUAGGGGUGAAAUCCGUAGAUAUCAGCAGGAACGCCGGUGGAGAAGUCGGUCUCCUGGGCCGUUCCUGACGCUGAGGCCCGAAAGCUAGGGGAGCAAACCGG